UACGUAGGGUGCGAGCGUUGUCCGGAAUUAUUGGGCGUAAAGGGCUCGUAGGCGGUUUGUCACGUCGGGAGUGAAAACUCGGGGCUUAACCCCGAGCCUGCUUCCGAUACGGGCUGACUAGAGGUAUGCAGGGGAGAACGGAAUUCCUGGUGUAGCGGUGAAAUGCGCAGAUAUCAGGAGGAACACCGGUGGCGAAGGCGGUUCUCUGGGACGGUACUGACGCUGAGACGCGAAAGCGUGGGGAGCGAACAGG
rnacentral:rRNA from 1 species